GGGACGUACGGUAAUGUCAUGAACUAGUGGAAAAUUCCUUGAUUAUGCCAAUAUCGCCUAGGGAUAGGGGUAGGAUGGUCAAUUGUAAUUGCUUUAGAUCUCAUUGCAUUAUUGGUUACUAGGGGAGGCUAGGGAUAGCAAGCCGGUAAUUAGUAAUAGGCUCUUUUCACCAAGGGAUUGGGUUAAGGGUAAUUAAGAAAGUAUGCAUGGCAAUUAGAUAAAUAAGUGAAUUAAAUAAGAA
rnacentral:lncRNA from 1 species